UAAUAAGUGUUUUAAGGCACUUUAAAAUCCAUAUCCACCUUGUGUGCAAUGUCAGCCUGACCACAUCCCAGCAAUUGGGGUUGUGUGAAGGGUUUCAUUAUCCACGUCAAUGGUUUUUCUUUUUCAGUCUAUAUUCUUUGAGUAAACGAACUCAAAUA
rnacentral:misc_RNA from 1 species